GAGUCAUCUCUGUUCUGCUUUAGGAGUAAAGCUUACCCUGAGGUUCCUUCUGUUGUGAAGUUUUCUCUUUCUCUCGGAGACCAGAUUCUGCCCUUCUGCUGGAGGGAAGUGUUUUCACAGGUUCUCCUCCUUUUAUCUUUUGUGUUUUUUUUUUCAAGCCCUGCUGAAUUUGCUAGUCAACUCAACAGGAAGUGAGGCCGUGGAGGGAGGCAGAAGAGCCAGGGUGGUUAUUGAAAGUAAAAGGAACUUCUUCCUGGGAGCCUUUCCCACCCCCUUCCCCGCUGAGCACGUGGAGUUAGGCAGGUUAGGGGACUCGGAGACUGCGAUGGUGCCAGGAAAGGGUGGAGCGGAUUAUAUUCUCCUGCCUUUUGAAAAGAUGGACUUCAGUAGAAAUCUUUAUGAUAUUGGGGAACAACUGGGCAGUGAAGAUCUGGCCUCCCUCAAGUUCCUGAGCCUGGACUACAUUCCACAAAGGAAGCAAGAACCCAUCAAGGAUGCCUUGAUGUUAUUCCAGAGACUCCAGGAAAAGAGAAUGUUGGAGGAAAGCAAUCUGUCCUUCCUGAAGGAGCUGCUCUUCCGAAUUAAUAGACUGGAUUUGCUGAUUGCCUACCUAAACACUAGAAAGGAGGAGAUGGAAAGGGAACUUCAGACACCAGGCAGGGCUCAGAUUUCUGCCUACAGGGUCAUGCUGUAUCAGAUUUCAGAAGAAGUGAGCAGAUCAGAAUUGAAGUCUUUUAAGUUUCUUUUGCAAAAGGAAAUCUCCAAAUGCAAACUGGAUGAUGACAUGAACCUGCUGGAUAUUUUCAUAGAGAUGGAGAAGAGGGUCAUCCUGGGAGAAGGAAAGUUGGACAUCCUGAAAAGAGUCUGUGCCCAAAUCAACAAGAGCCUGCUGAAGAUAAUUAACGACUAUGAAGAAUUCAGCAGAGAGAGAAGAAGCAGCCUUGAAGGAAAUCCUGAUGAAUUUUCAAAUGUGGAGGAGUUGUGUGGGGUAAUGACAAUCUCGGACUCUCCAAGAGAACAGGAUAGUGAAUCACAGACUUUGGACAAAGUUUACCAAAUGAAAAGCAAACCUCGAGGAUACUGUCUGAUCAUCAACAAUUACGAUUUUACAAAAGCACGGGAGAAAGUGCCCAAACUUCACAGCAUUAGGGACAGGAAUGGAACACACUUGGAUGCAGGUACAGUAGAACCCAAAAGAGAAAAGUGAAAUAUUUCUUAUGCCUUUUUUUUAAAUCAAAAGGGAGAGAACAAAAGCUAUACCAAAAGGGCCACGUUUCAAGAAAAUGGAUGUAAACAUAUUUCCCUGUGGAGGGGCUUUGACCACGACCUUUGAAGAGCUUCAUUUUGAGAUCAAGCCCCACAAUGACUGCACAGUACAGCAAAUCUAUGAGAUUUUGAAAAUCUACCAACUCAUGGACCACAGUAACAUGGACUGCUUCAUCUGCUGUAUCCUCUCCCAUGGAGACAAGGGCAUCAUCUACGGCACUGAUGGCAAGGAGGCCCCCAUCUAUGAGCUGACAUCUCAGUUCACUGGUUUGAAGUGCCCUUCCCUUGCUGGAAAACCCAAAGUGUUUUUUAUUCAGGCUUGUCAGGGGGAUAACUACCAGAAAGGUAUACCUGUUGAGACUGAUUCAGAGGAGCAACCCUAUUUAGAAAUGGAUUUAUCAUCACCUCAGGCGAGAUAUAUCCCGGAUGAGGCUGACUUUCUGCUGGGGAUGGCCACUGUGAAUAACUGUGUUUCCUACCGAAAUCCUGCAGAGGGAACCUGGUACAUCCAGUCACUUUGCCAGAGCCUGAGGGAGCGAUGUCCUCGAGGCGAUGAUAUUCUCACCAUCCUGACUGAAGUGAACUAUGAAGUAAGCAACAAGGAUGACAAGAAAAACAUGGGGAAACAGAUGCCGCAGCCUACUUUCACACUAAGAAAAAAACUUGUCUUCCCUUCUGAUUGAUGGUGCUAUUUUGUUUUGUUUUGUUUUUUUUGAGACAGAAUCUCGCUCUGUCGCCCAGGCUGGAGUGCAGUGGCACGAUCUCGGCUCACUGCACGCUCCGCCUCCCGGGUUAACGCGAUGCUCCUGCCUCAGCCUCCUGAGUAGCUUGGACUACAGGCACCCACCACCACGCCCGGCUAAUUUUUUGUAUUUUUAGUAGAGACGGGGUUUCACUGUGUUAGCCAGGAUGGUCUUGAUCUCCUGACCUCGUGAUCCACCCGCCUCGGCCUCCCAAAGUGCUGGGAUUACAGGCGUGAGCCACCGCGCCCGGCCAGUGAUACUAUUUAGAUACAUAACACUAUGUUUAUUUACUAAUUUUCUAGAUUUUCUACUUAAUUUAUUAAUUGUUUUGCACUUUUUUAUAAGAGCUAAAGUCAAUAGGAUAUUAACAACAAUAACACUGUCUCCUUUCUCUUAUGCUUAAGGCUUUUGGGAAUGUUUUUAGCUGGUGGCAACAAAUACCAGACAUAUACAAAAUCCAGCUACGAAUAUAGAGGGCUUAUGAUUCAGACUAUUAUCUACCAACAUUAAGCCCACUGUUAAUAUUCUAUUAACUUUAAUUCUCUCUUGAUGCUAAAUUCCACACUACCACAUUUAAAAAAUUAGAAAAUAGCCACGUGUGGUGGCUCAUGUCUAUAAUCUCAGCACUUUGGGAGGUUGAGGUGGGAGGAUUGCUUGAACCCAAGAGGUCAAGGCUGCAGUGAGCCAUGUUCACACCAUUGCACUCAAGCUUGGAUGACAGAACAAGACCCCAUCUCAAAAAAAAAAAUUUUUUUUUUAGUAAAACAAAAUUUGAUUGAAAUCUUUUAAAAAUUCAAAUUAUUUUACAAGUUUUAAAUAAUCGCUCCUCAAACUUGCUUUAUGCCUUCUUAUCGCUUUUAUGAUGUAUAUAUACUUGGCUAACUAUAUUUGCUUUUUUGCUAACAAUGCUCUGGGGUCUUUUUAUGCAUUUGCAUUUGCUCUUUCAUCUCUGCUUGGAUUAUUUUAAAUGAUUAGGAAUUAAGUUAUCUUUAAAAUGUAAGUGUCUUUUUUCAGAAACAUUUUUUAAUAGAAUAAAAUAUAAUUUGAUCUUAUUGCUCCUUAGAGAUUUUUUGUGCUUGGUUUUGAUUUCUGCCAAUGACAUCCCACAGGUGGAAAACAUCUGGACCACAGACAUGUUCUACUUGAGUCUCCCAUGAUUGGCACACACAGUUGUAUUUUUAAAAUUUGUUGUCAACGUUUAAAAAUUAGGAGCUAUCACAUAAAAACCAGAAUAACUUCUUUUAAAAAAUCAUAAUAUCUGACAAUAUUGACCUCAUGCUUUUGCAUGGCAAAGGUCUGAGAAGCACCUUCUUCAGCUGGGACAGUGCUCUGUGGGUCACUCUUCCCCACCCGCUGUGCCCCAGCCCUGCCCAAGCCCCUCUACUGAGGCUGCUGUUGGUUGCCACUUAUCACUGUGCUUGUGCAGUUGUUUUCCUUAUGUCUAGCCCACUUCACUUCUUUAUGUUGCCUGCCCUGUGGGUGUCUGAAUUCUGGUGAUGGUCCAGAGAAGGUAAGAAUCAUCAGAAACCCUUCCUAAGUCAUAGGUUAGGGAACAUGAUUGAGAGGUAG